GGAUUAUUAUUUUGUAAUGGAGGAUCGAGAAUUUAAAGUGACAAUCAUGUAAAUUAACAGAUUGUAAUGGCUGUGAAAGUUUAAAAUCAGUUUUUUUUUUAUACAACUAGGUCGACAAACAAGCUUACAGUUCACCGAUGGUAAGCGAUUACCGUAGCCUAUAAACGCCUGCAACACUAUAAGCAUUGCAACGUGUUGUCGACCCUACGACCAGGAGCUUUAGUCAUCUUACUCACCACAGAAACACAAUACUGCUUGAAAGCAGUAUUAUUUAGCUGUGAUCUUCUUUACGGUUGAGGUACUUCCCCAGUCGGGCUGCUCCAGAUUUUGAGCAGGAUGUUAAUGUGGAAGAACAUAUUCUGUAAUAUCAAUAAGUA
rnacentral:misc_RNA from 1 species